rnacentral:tRNA from 1 species
GGGAGAGUGGCUGAGUGGUUUAAGCGGCAGACUGUAAAUCUGUUGAAGCAAUUCAAUGUAGGUUCGAAUCCUACCUCUCCCA